UACGGGGGGGGCAAGCGUUGUUCGGAAUUACUGGGCGUAAAGGGCUCGUAGGUGGCCAACUAAGUCGGACGUGAAAUCCCUCGGCUUAACCGGGGAACUGCAUCCGAUACUGGAUGGCUUGAGUUCGGGAGAGGGAUGCGGAAUUCCAGGUGUAGCGGUGAAAUGCGUAGAUAUCUGGAGGAAUACCAGUGGCGAAGGCGGCCUUCUGGACUGACACUGACGCUGAGGCGCGAAAGCCAGGGGAGCAAACGGG
rnacentral:rRNA from 1 species